UCGAACGCGUGCAUAUCUCUAUUUGUUCGGAGCACGAGAUUCCCUUUUCAUAAAACAUGUAAUACACGAUCAAACCAUAAUGAUAAAGUAGGAAACAUUACAAUUAUUCAGGAACAUGAGACCACUUUAUUCAAGUGAGGUCAUUAUUGUUUGAAAAAGUAAUUCCUAUUGCGGAAUAAAUCAUUGAACCUAAAACCCAGUAUCAUUCUUCAACGAAUGGUGCAUGUUUGUCCUCGUGACUGCCGCAUCCUCUCAAAAUCCUAUGGUCAUUAGACUCACCUUUAAAAAAAGGAAAAUUUCGAACCAGAUUAAAAUUUUGAGGAAGAAAUAUAGUAUUUGUGCAACUUUAUAUGUCAGGAAGAAUCGAACCUGCAAUCGAGUUAAUGCUCCUAUCAGAAUCUGGCAUUCUCUUCAACAACAUUUCAUAUGCCACGCGCUCCUCACUUGGAGACUUACGAGGAAUAUCGUAUCAAUCCCCUAAUUGCCACCAAGUCAAGACAAAUAGGCAAUCCGAAAUCAUUACAAAACAUGCUUUUUAAUGAAUCAUGUGACAUCUCUAUCACUAAUGGAAGUCUGAAUGACUACGAAACAUUCCAGUUACCUGAUAGCCUCUCCGGUAUUUUAACACCUAGUACCUCAUCCAGCCACAAUGAUUCGAAAACUUUAGCAACAUAUGGAUUACCGAAUUCAAGCCAAAAUGAUUCCUGAAUCUCUGCAAGCAUCAAAGAAGAUGCAAUCAAAGGCCUAGGUG
rnacentral:lncRNA from 1 species